rnacentral:rRNA from 1 species
AUUGAACGCUGGCGGCAGGCCUAACACAUGCAAGUCGAGCGGAGCGGCGGACGGGUGCGUAAUGCCUAGGAAUCUGCCUGGUAGUGGGGGAUCACGUCAGGAAACGGGCGCUAAUACCGCAUACUAUCAGAUGAGCCUAGGUCGGAUUAGCUAGUUGGUGGGGUAAAGGCCUACCAGGGCGACGCUCCGUAGCUGGUCUGAGAGGAUUAUCAGUCACACUAGAACUGAGCCACGGGCCAGACUCCUACGGGAGGCAGCAGUGGGGAAUAUUGGACAAUGGGCGAAAGCCUGAUCAAGCCAUGCCGCGUGUGUGAAGAAGUUCUUCGGAUUGUAAAGCACUUUAAGUUGGGAGGCGUUACCAACAGAAUAAGCACCGGCUAACUGCGUGCCACCAGCCGCGGUAAUAC